UAGGGUCUUCGGUAUGUGUUGUAAGUGUAACUUGUAAUAGUAAUGACUUGUAUUUGUUAAGAAUAACAACUGUUUGGUGAAAGAAAGUUUCAGAUAAGCACGGAAGACGGUGUUCAAGAUCUGGAACUAUGAUUGAAAGUAAUUUCUCAGAUGAUGUAAGUUCUGGGUCCCAGUGUGUUGAUUUUCCAAGCUUGCUAGCUGAAAUGAAAGCUCAGAAUUUUGAUGUUAUCAGAUUUGCAACGUACCGCACAGCAAGCAAGCUGCGAUUUAUUCAAAAGAAAACAAACCUUAAUUUGCUUGAUAUCUGGAACAUCAUUGAAGCCUUCAGAGAAAAUAGUUUGAAUACUUUGGAGUCUCGGAUGGAAAUAAAUAUAUCUCGGCUGGAAACAUUGUUAUCCUCCCUCUUUUACCAGCUCAACAAACGACUGCCUGCAAGCCACCAAGUAGACAUUGACCAGUGUACUUCAUUGUUAUUGAACUGGAUUCUGCUGAUGUAUGACCGGGAAGACAAUGGAAAAGUAAGAGUUUUUUCUGUGAAAAUUGCUUUAAGUAUCAUGUGUUCGGGGAAGUUAAUGGAUAAGCUUCGAUAUGUAUUUUCCCUUUUGUGUGAUGCCAGUGGAUAUCUUGUGUACAGCAAGUUUGUUGAUUUUUUGCAAGUAGCCUUGGCACUACCAUCUUCAGUUUUAGAAUCUCCAACUUUUGCAUACAGUGAUAGUUUACCUGGAACUAUCUUUGAUGGGUCAAAAGUAACAGUGAAUGAUUUCCUUCAUACCUUGAUGUCUGAUCCUGGACCACAAUGUUUGAUUUGGCUUCCUCUGCUUCAUCGAAUGGGUAGUGUAGAAAAUGUUCUCCACCCUGUUCAAUGUGAUGGGUGCAAUAGAGAAUCUUUCCUUGGGUUUCGGUAUAAGUGUCAACGAUGUUACAACUAUCAGUUGUGUCAGGAUUGUUUCUGGAGGGGUAGAGUGUCUGGUAGUCACACAAGUCAACAUGAGAUGAAAGAAUACACAAUCUAUAAAUCUCCUACAAAACAACUAAGCCAUUCACUAAGAAAAUCCUUCAGAUGCGUGCCAGAAAAACAUGGACAAGGAAUCCCAAGGUUUCCAGAUGAACCAGAGCCUACACUUAACCUUUCUCACAUUGUGCCACCUUCUCCUAUACCAAGCCGGAAUGGACUAUUUGACUUAAAUAAUUCUUAUGAUCUUUCCUCUUUGGACAGUCGUUCAGUCACUAAAAGCCCUUUGCGACACACACUAAGUCUAGAGUCUUCCCGAGUUGAUGAUGAGCAUCGUCUUAUAGCCAGAUAUGCUGCUCAACUUGCUGGUACUCAGCCUACUACAAGAAGCCCAUCAGACUUGAGCCUUAACCUGGACAUUUUGAAACAACGAGAAUUGAUAUCUCAGUUAGAAGCCAAAAACAGGGAAAUAAUGCGUGAGAUCAUGAGGUUACGUAAGCAGCAAGAACAGGAAGAUGCAGCUCUGAAGUCGGAACAAAACCCCACCUUAUUAGCUGAACUCAGAGCUUUGCGGCAGCGUAAGGCUGAACUGGAGACUCAUUUAUCUAACCUCCAAGAAAGUCGACGGGAACUUAUGGUGCAGUUAGAGGGUCUAAUGAAGCUACUAAAGAACCACCAGUCUUCUCCUCGCUCCACUCCUAACAGUUCUCCACAUUCUGGCACCUCUAAAUCUCCUCCAUUAUCUACGGUAUAUCCAUUGUCUUCCUCACGGAGUGCACCUACUACCCCAGGUAGUGGGGCUCCUACCACAGACAGUCUUACUGGUGUUGGAGGAGAUGUGCGGUUAGCAUUUGGCCAGUCAGGAAGUUCUCGAUGUCUUCCAAAUGAUCUCCUUGUAGCAGCAGACUCAGUGACAAAUGCUAUGUCCUCACUUGUUAAGGAGCUUAACUCUGGCUCUGAAGAUGAAGGAGAAAAUGGGAGCAGAAAAGUGAUUAAAAGUGGCAGGGGUUUUGAAACUGAAGGAUCAGAGUGUGCCACAGAUAGUUUUAAAGUGGGUGGAACACUGUGGAGGGAAGAAAGGCAGUGGGAACAGGAAAGUCAUUUUCUUGCAGAAUUAGAAUCUAGAAAGUUACACACAGGUAAUGGAAAAAGCAGUCACCAGAGUUUAGAUCCAAGAACUGAAGAUGACAAUGAAGAAUUGUAUGACAAUGAUCCAAGGGACCUUGCCCACUUCCAUCGUCAUGCAUCACUUACUACAGAUGAUGAAAGUUACGUCCGUACAGAUGAUGAAGAAGGAGGAAACACUGAUUGGGAAGAGACCAUGAGAAGAUGGGUGAAUCGCUAAGAAAAUUAUGCUACUUAUUCAUGAGGAGUUUCAUCAUUCAGUCAGUGCUGCAUAGUAAUUGUCUUAUUGUUCCUUUGAAAUUUGCUGUUCUUCUGUUUUUGAGUUCAUAUGCGUUUCCAAUCUAUUCCUGCCAGAUCUAGUUGAGCUGUACAUCUAAUCACAUAGUGUAGUGGCUUCUUCCUUCAAACCUCAAGACCUUGCCCAUUUCCAUCAUCAUGCAUCACUUACUAGUGAUGAUGAAAGUUAUGUCUUGGAGUAAAAGAAUUGUAAUUGGUUGGUUAUGAUUAAAAUAUGUGUUAAAAUUUACACUACAUUGGGAAAGGAAAAAAUAUUGUAACAAAUUCUCAACACUUGUUACUUUGAUUUUAUCCUUGAUAGUGGAGAAUCUUAGUAAUUGUUCUUAAUUAUUUUUAUUUGUGGGUGGAAGUUAAUCUGAAUUCUGAUUUUAUGUAAUUAUGACAAAUUUAGAUGUUUUUCCAGUCUAAUUUUUAUGAGUUAUAUAAAUGAAAAUAUUAAGAUAUUACAAUUAGUAAUUAAACUUGUUGGGAAAAAGUUUUAUGCCAUAAUGGUGCUUUUAAAAGCUUAGAUCUGCCUGUUUUUUCUCAUGCAUGUAUAUUUUAUUUAGUUGUUUCUUGCUAGAGGUUAACUGGUAUGUAGCCACCAACACAUACUAGCUAAGACAAACCUUCUGUUUGAAUAUUAUAGAUUAUUAUUUUAUUAAUAGAUGCUUUUAGAUAGAAAUUUAAGGGGUUAUUACCUUACAUAUGUAUUAAUUAACCCUUUAUGACAUCGUGAUUUUUAUUAAUCGUGGUCCUGUAUAUUAAUCCAUUUAAACAGGCAUACUAGUCGUUAGGCCUAUUGAUUAUAUGUUUGUUAUUUGUAAGGUUAUACCAGAUGUUUGUGAAAGUUUACCAUCUCAUAAAUAGUAAAUUGUGUAUCUUUUACUGAAUGUUUUCAUAUAUUAUGUGGCCACUAACUGAAAUUUUGUACCAACUGGUAAUUUGUCAACCUAACAAUAUUUUUAACUUUUGCGGCUUUUCUAUUUUCAAAUUGGUGUAGAUGAACAAAACAACUGGUUUGGUUUGGUGUCCACUCAUAGAAAGAAAUAAUGAUUUAUUCUUUGAACUACUUCUUAUUUCAGCUUGUUACAAAACUACAUGUUCAUUUACCUUUCAAACCCUACACAAUACAUACUAAAGGUGCAAAAUAUGAUGAUACAUGGAGAGCAUAUUAGAUCACAGAAGUUGUCAGGACCUAUUAAGAAAGCCAAUAAUUCAUGCAAGGUAGUUCUUCCUUCAUUAUAGGAAAGGAAAGACGGCCCACUUUCUGAAGAGCACUUAGGUUAUUCAAUUUACUUACUUGUGUAUAAUACUAUUUGGUCUGGUAAUCAUUAUGGGUAUUAUUAUUGCAAAGGCUAGUGUUUUUUCAUCAUUAUUCAUUUAUCUACUUCACUAAUUUGUAACAUUAUCUAAUAAUCACUCAUCAUGCAGCCAUAAUUGUUUUGUGUGUGUGUCACUCUCUAUUACCACAGUUGUGACACUUAAAAGAUAUUACCAUGAAUUGAGAUUUAGUGUAGAAUGUUUAAUUACCAGUCUUUUUUUUUUAUUGAACGUAGUAUUAUCUGAAGAUCAGUGUAAAAAUUUAGAACUUUUCUGUGAUGGUGAUCUUUUCAAAAAGGUGGAAGUCUUUCUGAAAUCAGUCACACUUUAAAAUGAUGAUAUACAAAAGAAAAGAAUACAUAAUUUAAAAUACUGGUUAAAUUGAUAAUAGGUUCAGGAUAUUUUUAAGAAACUGUUGCCCCCCUUUUACCUAUACACUAGUUUAAGAAAUAGGUUUAAAACAAAAUAUUAGCCAUUUGGAGGGGUGGAGCAGGAAUAAAGAGAUCUGUUAUAAUUGUUUAAAGAAACUAAGCAAAAAAAUGUGUAACUGUUGCUAUGUGUGUUCAUGUAUUGGUUGUUAAAUUGUCCAUGAUCAUCUACAUAUCCUCUUGUGCCUCACCACUUACAAGACAAAAGUACAAACCCUUAGGGCAAAUGACACUUGUAGUUUUUAAAUCUUGGAGUGAAAGAUUGUAAUUGGUUGGUUACGGAAUACAUUUAAUGUACUGGGAUGAGUUGAGUAACUGGGAUAACAGGUUAGAAUUACAUUAAACUUACAACACUAAAAUCCAGGGUGUGAUUCCCAGCAAUGGACAAGAGCAUACAUAGGCAUUGUGUAGCUUUGUGCUGAAGAAAACUAAUAACAUUGUAAUGAUUAAAUAUGUUGUGACCAUUAAAGUGUUGUAAGGGUAAAAGAUGUAUUGUGAUUGUUACAGGGUUUAAUAUCACAGUCAUAAAAUACAGUUUACUUUGUUAUGUGUGUUAGAUUUCUUUUUAUACUUCAUAUUUGUAUCAUUUGUCAAUUCUGGUUUAAAAUUGCAUACUACUUUCAAACAGGAAAGGUGUCUGGGUUAAUAUUACAUACUUUAGUAUGUUCUGAUGAAGAAACAAAUUUGUUUUAUUACAAACAAAAUUUGCUGAAUUAUAAUUUAUAGAUUGAAGAUCUAUAUUUUAUGCAUAUAAAGUUCCAUGUCUACAUUACUUCCAAUUUGUACUAUUAUUGUGUUUGACCAAGUAUUAUGAAAGAUUAGUUUGUUUGAGUAGUGAUACAUUGCACAUGGAUGGCCAGCUUUUUAGGUAGUAUUCCAUAGCUAUCACUUGAUUAGAAAUUUUUAGUGACUUUUUCCCGUUGGUUUAGUCUUAUGGUAGGUCCAUUUACUUCUUAUUAUUGAUGAAGUUGUUAUUACCAUGGAAAGUCUCAUCUGGUGUUUCUUAUGUAGUUAGUAAGCAAGUAAACAUAAAAUUCUAUCCUAUAAGGGCUAAUGUGCAACUCUACAGAACAGUAGGUAAACUGUAUCGAUACACAUCAGAAGAAAGUGUACUGUGAGCUGGCAUUAUGUAUGAUUGGUUGCUCUAUUGUACGUUGACCACAAAAUGAAGAGCUUAACAAUUACACAUUUAAAAAGGUAGCAAUCAGAGUGUGAAUAGGGUGGUAACCACAGAAUGAAGUGAGUAGCAAUCACAAAAUGAUAUAUUUUGGACAAUUAUCAUUAGUCAUGAAAAAUGACUGAUUCUGUAACUGAGAUCACAAGCAUUAUUUAGUGCACUUAAUAAUUCUAGUGAUUUAGUUAUCAAAUUUGGCAAUAGAUUCAUCUGCUAUGAUUUUCUACAAAAUGUUCUAGUCAAAGUAAGAAGUAUUAAAAUGUUAGAGGAAUAUCUAGGGCCCAUAUUAUUUAGUUUUAUACUUGCUAACAUUGGCUUUAUAAGUGGUUAGUAAACAUAGUACACGGAUUCUCCUUGGCAGAUAGAACUUUUGUAAUUUAAGGUUAUAUUCAUUGCACAAUGUUUCACUUCAUAACACCAAUAUAACUAAAGAACUUAUAACAUUGCAUUUUCCAAAUUUUGUUUGUUUUGAGGUGUGAUAGCCAAACCCAGUGUUACUGUUUAAAUGUUUUUAAAAAAAUGGAAACAGAAACCUUUCUGGAUUCAUUACCAGGCAGAAGUUUUAACCAAUUGACCUGUUGAACCUACUGAAAGCCACAUCUCUGUUUUCAUUUCAUCAGUUUGGUAGAACUCUUGAGCUGUGACAAUCAGAUUAUAAAGCCCAGAAUCCAUUUAUUUCCCACUGGGUAUCAAUUUUGAAGGCACUGACAGAAAAACCAAAAGCUUGUAAUUAAAACAAGUUGUGAAAUCUUGAGGUUUUCAUUGUUUCAAAGUUAUAUUUUCCAACCAAGCAUCUUUAGCCAUGAUAUUUCUAAUUUUACAGUAUGAGAAGGACCAUGUUAAUACUACCAUCUUGUAUGAACAUUGUUUGUACAUCAACUAACUUCACUUGAACAAAAUAACAAAUCUAUUGUUGUGUUUAUAUACAUUUCACCUCUUAGUUUACUGAUAUUUGUGUGGGAAUAGUAUUUUGCAUCCCUGCCAUUUGGCAGUUUUAGUUAACAAGAAGAAGGUGUUACUAUACUCUUGUUGUGGAAAAGAUUAAAGCAUAUUAUUAUCAAAAUUACAUUAUUAAUAUUUAUUUUGGAGGUUAUUUUAAAUGCAGGAAUAAUUCAAAAAACUUUUAUUUAUGGGCCAGAUUCACAUAACAUUAUCUAUUACAAGAUUUGAAGCUCAUUCGUACCUUAUUUGUCAGGAGAAAAACAUUUUAAAAUCAGAGUUUAAAAUGUCUCUCACUUGAAGAACUUGUAAAUGUUGUAAUCAAUUUUUUUUUUGUUCCCUGCAGACAAUAUUGUCCCUAUUGCAUGUCAUAGUUCACUAAAACUGAAAUAAAUGGCUAACCCUCUAGCAAAUAUUAGUUAGGCACUUUUUUAACAAUUCUAACUACAUUCUUUUUUCUUAUUAAAAAAAAAUGCCCUUGGGUCUCGGCCCGGCAUGGCCAGGUGGAUAAGGUGCUCGAUUCGCAAUCUGGGUCGCGAGUUCG
rnacentral:misc_RNA from 1 species